AGAGUUUGAUCCUGGCUCAGGAUGAACGCUAGCGGCAGGCCUAACACAUGCAAGUCGAGGGGUAACAGGAGAGCUUGCUCUCGCUGACGACCGGCGCACGGGUGAGUAACGCGUAUGCAACCUACCUUUAACAGGGGGAUAGCCCGAAGAAAUUCGGAUUAAUACCCCAUACAACUAUAGAUAAGCAUUUAUUUAUAUUUAAAACUCCGGUUUAAAGAUGGCAUGCGUGACAUUAGAUAGUUGGUAAGGUAACGGCUUACCAAGUCUACGAUGUCUAGGGGGUCUGAGAGGAUGGUCCCCCACACUGGUACUGAGACACGGACCAGACUCCUACGGGAGGCAGCAGUGAGGAAUAUUGCGCAAUGGAGGAAACUCUGACGCAGCCAUGCCGCGUGCAGGAUGACAGCCCUACGGGUUGUAAACUGCUUUUAUACAGGAAGAAUUUUCCGCACGUGUGCGGGAUUGACGGUACUGUACGAAUAAGCACCGGCUAACUCCGUGCCAGCAGCCGCGGUAAUACGGAGGGUGCAAGCGUUAUCGGGAUUUAUUGGGUUUAAAGGGUGCGUAGGCGGAGUAAUAAGUCAGUGGUGAAAUCCUGCAGCUUAACUGUAGAAUUGCCAUUGAUACUGUUAUUCUUGAGUUCGAUUGAGGUAGGCGGAAUGUGUAACGUAGCGGUGAAAUGCUUAGAUAUUACACAGAACACCGAUUGCGUAGGCAGCUUACUAAGUCGAUACUGACGCUGAGGCACGAAAGCGUGGGGAGCGAACAGGAUUAGAUACCCUGGUAGUCCACGCCGUAAACUAUGAUCACUAGCUGUUGGCGAUACAUCGAUCAGCGGCAAAGCGAAAGCAUUAAGUGAUCCACCUGGGGAGUACGGUCGCAAGAUUGAAACUCAAAGGAAUUGACGGGGGCCCGCACAAGCGGUGGAACAUGUGGUUUAAUUCGAUGAUACGCGAGGAACCUUACCUGGGCUUAAAUGCAGAUUGACGUUUCGGGAAACCGGAAUUCCCUUCGGGGCGAUUUGCAAGGUGCUGCAUGGUUGUCGUCAGCUCGUGCCGUGAGGUGUCGGGUUAAGUCCCAUAACGAGCGCAACCCCUAUCGUUAGUUGCCAGCGGAUAAUGCCGGGGACUCUAACGAAACUGCCGGUGUAAACCGAGAGGAAGGUGGGGAUGACGUCAAAUCAGCACGGCCCUUAUGUCCAGGGCUACACACGUGUUACAAUGGUCGGUACAGAGGGCAGCUACCUGGUGACAGGAUGCUAAUCUCGAAAGCCGGUCUUAGUUCGGAUCGAAGUCUGCAACUCGACUUCGUGAAGCUGGAACACCUCCU
rnacentral:rRNA from 1 species